GGAUCGUACGAUGUCGACUUGGAGGUUGUGCCCUUGAGGCGUGGCUUCCGGAGCUAACGCGUUAAGUCGACCGCCUGGGGAGUACGGCCGCAAGGUUAAAACUCAAAUGAAUUGACGGGGGCCCGCACAAGCGGUGGAGCAUGUGGUUUAAUUCGAUGCAACGCGAAGAACCUUACCUACUCUUGACAUCCAGAGAACUUUCCAGAGAUGGUUUGGUGCCUUCGGGAACUCUGAGACAGGUGCUGCAUGGCUGUCGUCAGCUCGUGUUGUGAAAUGUUGGGUUAAGUCCCGCAACGAGCGCAACCCUUAUCCUUUGUUGCCAGCGGUCAGGCCGGGAACUCAAAGGAGACUGCCAGUGAUAAACUGGAGGAAGGUGGGGAUGACGUCAAGUCAUCAUGGCCCUUACGAGUAGGGCUACACACGUGCUACAAUGGCGCAUACAAAGAGAAGCGACCUCGCGAGAGCAAGCGGACCUCAUAAAGUGCGUCGUAGUCCGGAUUGGAGUCUGCAACUCGACUCCAUGAAGUCGGAAUCGCUAGUAAUCGUGGAUCAGAAUGCCACGGUGAAUACGUUCCCGGGCCUUGUACACACCGCCCGUCACACCAUGGGAGUGGGUUGCAAAAGAAGUAGGUAGCUUAACCUUCGGGAGGGCGCUUACCACUUUGUGAUUCAUGACUGGGGUGAAGUCGUAAAAAGGGUAAACCA
rnacentral:rRNA from 1 species